rnacentral:tRNA from 1 species
GAAGUCUUAGCUUAAUUAGAGCAUUUGAGUUGCAUUCAUAAGGUGUUGAUGUUCAACAGACUUUC